UUGCUUCUCUUGAGAGCGGCGGACGGGUGAGUAAUGCCUAGGAAUCUGCCUGGUAGUGGGGGAUAACGUCCGGAAACGGACGCUAAUACCGCAUACGUCCUACGGGAGAAAGCAGGGGACCUUCGGGCCUUGCGCUAUCAGAUGAGCCUAGGUCGGAUUAGCUAGUUGGUGGGGUAAUGGCUCACCAAGGCGACGAUCCGUAACUGGUCUGAGAGGAUGAUCAGUCACACUGGAACUGAGACACGGUCCAGACUCCUACGGGAGGCAGCAGUGGGGAAUAUUGGACAAUGGGCGAAAGCCUGAUCCAGCCAUGCCGCGUGUGUGAAGAAGGUCUUCGGAUUGUAAAGCACUUUAAGUUGGGAGGAAGGGCAGUAAAUUAAUACUUUGCUGUUUUGACGUUACCGACCGAAUAAGCACCGGCUAACUCUGUGCCAGCAGCCGCGGUAAUACAGAGGGUGCAAGCGUUAAUCGGAAUUACUGGGCGUAAAGCGCGCGUAGGUGGUUCGUUAAGUUGGAUGUGAAAUCCCCGGGCUCAACCUGGGAACUGCAUUCAAAACUGACGAGCUAGAGUAUGGUAGAGGGUGGUGGAAUUUCCUGUGUAGCGGUGAAAUGCGUAGAUAUAGGAAGGAACACCAGUGGCGAAGGCGACCACCUGGACUGAUACUGACACUGAGGUGC
rnacentral:rRNA from 1 species